rnacentral:misc_RNA from 1 species
GGAGAGGUGAAAAAUUCCAUUUGUAAGAUGCUAAUUUGACUUUAUUUUUCGAGUUCACAGGAAUACCGUGUGGCGUUAAAAAAGUGGAUUAUCAUCGCCCAUUAUCACUUGGGGCGGGGGCGGCAUUGGAGUUAGAGGACACACGAAGAGCCAUCACCCACCACAUAUGUACAAGACAAUACCAGUACACUCUCAGCAGAUAUUAACACCGUCUCGCCGGACGGAUUUUCUCUCAUAACGUCAAAGUAACGUCAUGUAGAUGCGAGUUUGACAGCUACUGUGCUCGACUGUACAUAUAAUAGUACCAGGACAAGCCAGCUUAACUUUACUCGCUGUCUACCACUGUCUACGGUAUAUUAAAUGAUUCACGUCGUCUAACAUCCAGCAGCACAUUUGUCAAUAAUCAACAACAAUGAAGACAAGUGUCUAAAAUAAUAACGACUAUCAACACAGUAAUUACUAGCAAUAUUUAUAAGCAAAUAAGUGUGAGGUGUGUGAUUUUUUACCAGAAUAUGGAAGAAUGAUCAAGCACGGGAUUAUUUUACUGCUAUUGCUUGUAUUGCCAGGAUGGCAAGAGGCCUUGGGAUCAGUAUCUGUCAGAACAGUAGAAGUAGAUAUAGGACAAAAUUUAACGAUUGCUUGUACUGACGAAAAUGUAUCACGGCAUCCUGGUAAUUACACCAACGUCAUGUGGGUUCGGGAAGGAAGAAAAGACGGGCAGGUACGAAGAAUGAAAAUAGGAUCAAACAAGGCACUUGAGUUGGUAAAUGUUAGUCUCGAUGACGCUGGUAAUUAUUUUUGCACACUUGAUAACGAUGCCAAUGCUGUUAAAACACGAAUUAAUAUUCAAGUAAAAACACCUCCACCAGCACUUCACAAUGUUUGGGUUAAACCAUCGACAAUACUUGCUAACAUUCUGUGGGAAGUAGCAGGUACUGGUGGUUAUCCUAUUAUUGAUUUCACUGCCGAAUAUCGUCUCAAACCAGGUGUAGGUGAAGAACCUGAAGACUGGAAGCCUAUUAUGCCGACGCACAUACCUCCAAACUCUAGACAGAUUGAUGUUUAUCAUUUGGAGCCAAACACAACGUACUUGUUUCGCGUAUGGGCAACAAAUAAACUCGGGCGUGGUGACAUUGUUGAAGUUGAAGGUCAUACUCAUCACACUAUUGAAGAAUUAGAGCUGGCGAAACAUCUGUUAGCCGGCGUGGAAAAUUUUGAUACACGAAUCUGGGUAGCGGCGGUAGGAAUUGUUAUGGGAACUCUAAUGGUCCUUGGUUUAGGUACAUGCUACCUUCUGUAUCGUGAGUGCAAGGCACCCUAAUGAGAAAUAGUGCAAAAAAAAACUAGAAGAUACACCAUAGAGAUUAGAGCAUUACGGCCUAGAUAAUAAACAAAGUUUAUAAUAAAAAAAUAUAUAGUAAACAUAAAUAAAAAACAGUUGUAAAAUGUGCUACUAGAGACUAUAUAUAUAAAUAAGUUAGAAAGAAAAAAUAGAUUAAAAAUAGCACAUAAAUUAGUUGGGUGAUGCAGUUAUUAACUUCGAUCAAGACAAAAUAAAUAAACAAUAGACAAGAGUUAUCAGUUAUCAGUUAUCAGUUGAAUUUGUCAGCGCAAUACUCUAACACAGGAUUAUUUUUAUUGUUCACGCGAAAAUUUGUGAUGCAUACACCCAGCGAUUAUUGAGAAAAUAAUAACAUUCAAAAGCGCAGCUGGAGGAUCAGGAAGUGAUUGAGUUGGUACCAAAUAUUAUUUUAAAUCCGGGAUUUUUUGACGAGAGAUCGGAA